GACGAACGCUGGCGGCGUGCUUAACACAUGCAAGUCGAACGGAGCGAAUGAAAGCUUGCUUUUAUGAGCUUAGUGGCAAACGGGUGAGUAACACGUAGACAACCUGCCGAUCAGAUGGGGACAACAUUCCGAAAGGAAUGCUAAUACCGAAUGGCGUGUAGGGGAGGCAUCUUCCCUACAUGAAAGAUGGCCUCUAUAUAUAAGCUAUCACUGAUCGAUGGGUCUGCGUCUGAUUAGCUAGUAGGUAAGGUAACGGCUUAUCUAGGCGACGAUCAGUAGCCGGUCUGAGAGGAUGAACGGCCACAUUGGGACUGAGACACGGCCCAGACUCCUACGGGAGGCAGCAGUGGGGAAUCUUCCGCAAUGGGCGCAAGCCUGACGGAGCAACGCCGCGUGAGUGAAGAAGGUCUUCGGAUCGUAAAGCUCUGUUGAAGGGGACGAACGUAUAUAGUGCGAAUAGUGCUG
rnacentral:rRNA from 1 species